rnacentral:tRNA from 1 species
GAAAUAAGGAAACCAAAAAUAAGCUUCUAACUUAAUUUUUUAGCGAUGAAAUUUCGUUGUUAUUUCU